UACGGUUACCUUGUUACGACUUAGUCCCAGUCACCAGUCUUACCGUCGGCCGUCGCAUCCUUGCGGUUAGCUAAACGGACUUCGGGUACUCCCGGCUUCCAUGACUUGACGGGCGGUGUGUACAAGGCUCAGGAACACAUUCACCGCGUCGUGGCUGAUACGCGAUUACUAGCGAUUCCAACUUCAUGGAGUCGAAUUUCAGACUCCAAUCCGAACUGGGGCCGGCUUUGUGCGAUUUGCUCCACCUCUCGGUAUCGCGUCGCUCUGUACCGGCCAUUGUAGCACGUGUGACACCCUGGGCAUAAAGGCCAUGAUGACUUGACGUCGUCCCCACCUUCCUCCGGCUUAACGCCGGCGGUCUCGCUAGAGUCCCCGACAUGACUCGCUGGCAACUAACGAUAGGGGUUUCGCUCGUUAAGGGACUUAACCUGACACUUCACAGCACGAGCUGACGACAGCCAUGCAGCACCUGUGCACGUUUCACCCGAAGGCAGCCUGCUCCUGUUUCCAAGAGAGCAUCCGUGCAUGUCAAACCCAGGUAGGGUUCUGCGCGUUGCUUCGAAUUAAUCCACAUGCUCCACCGCUUGUGUGAGCCCCCGUCAAUUCCUUUGAGUUUUAGCCUUGCGGCCGUACUCCCCAGGCGGCGUAC
rnacentral:rRNA from 1 species